rnacentral:misc_RNA from 1 species
AAAAAUGGCGGACACAGAUGAAACAUUGAAGAAAUCGUUGUCAAGUUUUAGUAUUGACUCUUUAAAGCCGGAACAGAGACAAAUAUUGGAUAUAUUAGUCGAAAGGAAAGACUGUUUAGUUAUAUUGCCAACAGGAUUUGGAAAAUCGCUUCCUUUUCACGUAUUCUUGCCGGUUAUUCGCGAGAUAAGAGCAGAUUUUAACCAAAGUGUCAUGUUAGUGUGCUGUCCUUUAGUUGCAAAUGAUGCAGGACCAGGUGGCGAAGUUAGCAACAAUAAAAAGUGUUUCGGCAGCAUACAUAGGAUCAAGUGUAGAAAGCGAUGCCCGUAUCCUGAAUGGGGAAAUAGAUAUCAUAUAUGCAUCCCCAGAACGAGUUAUAAAUGAUGCUGGGUGGAGAGAGGGCAUAACAAAGUUGAAAGUUUGUUCCAUCGUUAUAGACGAGUUCCACACCAUUGCAACAUGGGGUGAAGACAUAAGUGGACUAAAUAAACAAGCUUUCAGAAAGUGGUUUGCUUCUGUUGGAGAACUCCGUUCUUUAUUUCCACAAGCCAAUGUUGUGGCAUUGAGUGCAACCUGCACACAAAAAAUUAAGAAACGAGUAAUGAAGCAGUUGUGUUUUGGACCAAACACUGUGGAAAUUUUCAAGCCUCCAAACAAAGCCAACAUUAAACUUUCAGUGUGUAAAGUUUCAAAUGAACUGGAAAUUGCAAUGUCAUGGCUUGUAGAUGGUUUUAAACAAUUGGCUGGUGAUUUUCCAAAAACCCUGUUGUAUUGUUACAGUAUUAAUGAUGUGUCAAAACUUUACUCUUAUUUUUCUAAAGAGCUGGAUGAGGAGACAUUUGGCCCCUUAAUUGAUAUGUUUCAUUCAGAAACUCCCCCAUCCAAAAAGGAAGAAAUAGUUAAGUUUUUUGGAGAUAAAACAAACAGUAGUAAAAAAAGAUUAGUUAUAUGUACAAAUGCAUUGGGAAUGGGUAUUAAUGUGUCAAAUUGUUGUUCUGUUAUUUUGUUUGGAAUGCCUGACAAUAUUGUAGAUUUAGUUCAAGAAAUAGGUAGAAUAGGAAUUAAUGGUGAACAGUCAAUAGCAAUGAUACUGUUUAAUUCCUAUCAUCUGCGGCGUUUAGAUAAAGAUAUGAAAGAGAUUCUUUGUUCAAGUGACUGCAGAAGAUUGAAUAUUAUGAGGCAUUUUUUGAUGGACUCGGAUUUAAAAGAAAAAGACACAGGAGUACAUACUUGUUGUGAUAUUUGCCAAAAAGGUUGUAAAUGUGACAAUUGUGAACUACUUCUUUUAGAGAGACUUUUAGAGAAUGAAGUUUUAACUGACACGGACAGUACUUGUAGUGAUAAUUCAGAAAAUACAGAGGACUGUUGGGAAAGUACAUUUGCCUCAGAAUUGAACUUUAACCUUGAAAUCUGAUAAGAACAGUUGCUAUUGUGAUAUGUUAUGAAGCAUUAGAAAUAUUAAAUCCAACUCAAUGUACG